UUUCCAUAUACCAUGAGAAAGAACUUAAAAUACAUUAAUACAAAUGUAGAAUGUGGUUAAAAAUUUUAAAACAACACUGAAAAUUAUAGGUUUCAAUAUAUAAAGAAUUUACCAAAAACUCAAUAUUUUUGUAGGGGUUAACACAUAGAUUUUGAGAAAAUUUCAAAAAAUACGACAAUAUUGUUUUAAUGUAUAGUUGCAUCCUGCAUUAAUAUAUGAUGAUGUUCAAAGAGAUUUGGAGUCUUUGUUGUCUCCAUUUCUCUUGAAAAUAACGAUUUUAUAAUGGUUAUUUCACUAAUUUAGAGAGUAUACGAAGUUUUACGAAAUUAAUUUAUAAAAACAAUUGAACGAUGCUUAUUUACCAUGAAAGAGAGUUUAUCAUACAACAAUAAAAAUGUAGAAUAUAGUUAGAAAUUUUAAAACAACACUAAAGAUUAUAAGCUUCAGUAUAUAAAGUAUUUACCAAAAACUCAAUAUUUUUGUAGGGGUUAACACAUAGAUUUUGAGAAAAUUACAAAAAAUACGCCAAUAUUGUUUUAAUGUAUAGUUGCAUCCUGCAUUAAUAUAUCAUGAUGUUCAAAAAGGUUUGGAGUCUUUGUUGUCUCCAUUUCUCUUGAGAAUAUGGAUUUUAUAAUGUGUAGUCCACUAAUUUAGGGAGUAUACGAAGUUUUACGAAAUUAAUUUAUAAAAACAAUUGAACGAUGCUCAUUUACCAUGAAAGAGAGUUUAACAUACAUUAAUACAAAUGUAGAAUAUAGUUAGAAAGUUUAAAACAACACUAAAGCUUAUAAGCU